ACAACACAAAUGAAUGGGCCAUUUUAUUGAUUUUUACCUCCUAAUAGUGGAUACAGGUUGCCGUGGUUUCCAGCAGGAUCUCAGAUGCAAAGGGAAGUGAAGAAAACAGAUGAAUCCCUAGGGUACCCCGCCAUGGAACCAAACACCACAUCAACUGGAACUCUUCUUGCAAACGAAGGCUGAAGAUCAAGAAUGACAUUCUCACACCACAGCACAGCUUAAAUACUUCUUUGACAAAAAUAAUAAUAAAUUAUAUUUGACUCAGAAAAUAAAUUCUGUUCAGCAGAGUGACAGGAGGGUCCAUUCAUUGCAUUGCACGAGGGGCUCUACGGAGGGGUGAGGAUGGGUGCAGGAUGGUCCAUUCAUUGCAUUGCACGAGGGGCUCUACGGAGGGGUGAGGAUGGGUGCAGGAUGCCACAGUGACAAGGGACAUGGGGUGCGGGCCCAGCAGCACAGGCUGAAGUUAGCUGACGCAUGCUUUUGGCUUUUAUCCCACGGGCGGGUAGUGGCCGGACCCCUGGCUGUGGCCUGUCCCAAGUGAGACUGCAACUGUCCCCUUCCUCCUCACGUCCGCCUUGUCUUCUGUUUCUUGGCUUGUCUCUUUGCAUCUUCUGGGCCGCUAUUGUCAGAGGCUGCCUGGCCGAGCGCGCCGACUCCCUGUAGCCGGCUUGUCAACUGCAGCAGCAAAGGAAUG
rnacentral:lncRNA from 1 species